GCUGGGAAGAAGGGUUUGUUCUUUGGGGGAAGCAACCAUCUUGGCAUGACAUCAUGCAAGGGAGGGGGCAAGGCACCCUAGGAAGAGGGUAGCUACUAUACAUAAUAGCUGCUGGCAUAGUGGGAGACCUAUCAAAAUGUACCAUGUGCAAAAAGAGGGUCACAAAGAGAAAAGGCUCCCAUGCUUUCACUGAAAGCACCAUGGUCAAGCAAGGUCAUGACCCAUCCUGCAGGCUGAUCCUGAUAGUAGCUGAGAGGCUCUGUACAUGGUUCCAAAAUAAUGCCUAAGGAGACUUAAUUGAUCUUGAUAGAUAGCAAGAGGUUCAUACUGAUUGACACAGGUCUUAUUUUAACUUGGUCUUAAACACUCAGUAAAAAAGAGUAACAAAAAUGUUAUAAAAUAAUAUCAUAGUAAUAAAGCUAGAUAUAAAAAGAUAUAAAAAGGGCUCAAUCAGUGACCACUUCUGGCAGUUUCCAGCUACACUGGUAGCUGACCAUGGUUAUGGAUCAUUAGGAAAAACUAUGGAAACAUCUAUAAAAGCUCAAUUAGAGUUUUAAAUUUCUUAGCUAAAUUUGUCUUUCAAAUUUUCUCUAUCUUACAGCUAAGACUGGAGAGACUUAUGACAAAAAUAUCAGAUUUAUAGAUAACCUCUGUCAAUAAAAGUAUAUAAGAACAAACAGGUUUUAAUCACCAUUUCAGUUUUUAAUUGUGACUCUUUCCCCAACCUGCCUUUCCAUUCUAGUGUUCACACUUACAUUAUACAUGGUCUAAUUUCUUUAGAAUUUUGUUUAUUCUUGCCUAGAGGCUGCCAAACUCCAAAUGGUCAUACAAAUGGAACCAAAGACAAAUGUGCUGGACUUCUUUUACCAGAAUCCACCAGAUGGACCUUAUAAAAAGUUCAUAACUGCUAAACUACAAUUCUGAAGUCACCUGGGCCUUCUUCUUAUCCUCUUUAUGGAAGGCUAUUACUAAUUCUUCUUGACUUAAAGCUACCCAAGAUGACAAUGGCUAGUGCCUGUUGAGGGCCUUUAGAUAGACCCUCUAUAGAGUAUCUCUGACUGCUGAACAGAACUACAACCUCUUCAGCCAGAAAUAGCCAGAAUGUUCUUCACCCCUUGCCCUCUCAUGGCAGUUCGGGAUACUUUGUCAGAGAGGGGAUAUUAUAGAUAGACAGUUAGACAUUUAGGGUCCCCUUCAAGGCACCAGCCCUCAAGGCCCCAGUCCUCAAGAUGCCAGCCCUCCAAGAGCCAACACAGCGAGGAGGCAACAGGGAGAAGAGUUGAGGCACAUUCACCGGUUCCACCAAGAUUAUUGUAUGGGGCUGUUAAAGUUUCAGAGAUCCAGUCAUGGAUUCGUCACUCUUGAAUCAAAAAGGCCCAUCACGAUGACUCUUGGGAGGCCCACACUGAUGAAACAACUCCAUUAACAAUAACACUGAGGAGACAACAUACUCAAAGCCCUGUUCCUGUCACUCCAGACACUGGCAGGCCAACAGAUGGCUGAAGCCUGUCUGAGGACCUCAACCCAUGAACCACUGCCACGCUUUCCAGACUUGGUCUCCCUGGCAUCUUUAUUCUUGCUUACCUCAUCAUGACUACCUUUAUUCUUGACAUAGGCCUAAUAACUGUUACUCCAGAGGACUGGAAUACUUUCCAAAGAUGUUUCCUCUUAGCUAUAUGCUGGGGUUUUAUGGUGACAUUUGCUAUCCUAUCUUGUCUAGAUUGACUCAGAAAAUCCCUGAGAACUGGUGGGGUGUCUUAGGUGACUGGAAGACAUGGUUAGGGGCUUUAUUAGGAUCUCUCUUUGGUAUCUUCAUGUUAUUAACAAUCAAUCUGUGCUUUAUAAACUGGUUCAUAUACUUUAUUUCUCAAUGCCUUAACACCAUUAAGAUCCAAAAAUCAUACUAAUAGAUGGUGACUUCAAGGUCUGAUGUGUACCCUUACACAUGUAAAAACAUAAACCAGCAAAGAAGUUGAAGAUUCAGCUAUAAUCAAAAAGAGGAGGGAAUGAGCAGGAUAUGAUUUCUGACCAGAAGGAGCCUGUGCUGCGGCUAACCAGAUAGCAACAAAAGGCUCCUCCUACUUCUGACCCCUCCCACACCUAAAACAUGUCCUGCAAGUCUGAGUGAGACCUGGACAUGUUUUCCUCCAGUGUCCUUUGUUCUCAGUAGGGUUUCUGUGACUCACGAUAUGUAAAUAAAGUGAAUCCUAGUGUACCUUUCUAUCCAAUUUCAUAAGUUGAACGUGUCUACCUCAAACAAUGAACUAAUGUUGAGUGUCAUGCCACUGUAUCCUUACCCCUCCUUUCCCAAAUCUAUAUAAAUCCUGUUCACCCCCAAGAUGGAGCUGAUAAUUUUGUGGAGAAGUUUCCCAUCAGUCUGCUAGUGAAAUAAACCUGCCUCCAACUUCCA